UACAGAGGCCUCGAGCGUUAGGCGGAAUCACUGGGCUUAAGGCGUGUGUAGGCGGACUUCUAAGUACCUUGUGAAAUCCCACGGCUUACCCGUGGAACGGCUGGGUAUACUGGGAGUCUUGAGCCACCUAGGGGCGAGUGGAACAAAUGGUGGAGCGGUGAAAUGCGUAGAUAUCAUUUGGAACGCCAAUGGUGAAAACAACUCGCUGGGGGUGUGCUGACGCUGAGACACGAAAGCCAGGGGAGCGAACGGG
rnacentral:rRNA from 1 species